rnacentral:rRNA from 1 species
UACGGAGGGUGCGAGCGUUGUCCGGAAUCACUGGGCGUAAAGGGCGCGUAGGCGGCCCUGGCAGUCGGUGGUGGAAAGCCCGUGGCUCAACUGCGGGUCGGCCGACCGAUACUCCAGGGCUCGAGUUUGGUAGAGGCAGAUGGAAUUCCGGGUGUAGCGGUGGAAUGCGUAGAGAUCCGGAAGAACGACCGGUGGCGAAGGCGGUCUGCUGGCGAGCCGUG